rnacentral:misc_RNA from 1 species
UAUUGUUCCAGCAACUCGAGUACUAAUAUGGGUCUUCUCUUCUUCAGUGAGUCUAGCUAGUCCAAAGUCGGAGAUUUUGGGAUUGAGCUGUCCAUCCAGAAGCACAUUGGUAGCUUUGAUGUCCCGAUGUACAAUUUUUACGCUUGAUUCCUCAUGUAGAAAAGCUAGACCUCUAGCUAUUCCGAGACAGAUCCUAAACCUUGUAGGCCAAUCCAGAUUCAACCGACUGUUCUCAAACAAAACGCUCGCAAGGCUAUUGUUAUCUAAGUAUUCAUAUACAAGCAGUAACUGGUCUGCUUCAAUACAGCACCCAAGAAGCUUAACCAGAUUGGGGUGUUGCAAACAGGAUAUCGUGCUAAUCUCAUUCAAGAAUUCACGGUUGCCUUGCUUUGAUUGAGAGGAGAGCUGCUUCACUGCAACUAAUGUACCAUCAAG